GAUGAACGCUGGCGGCGUGCCUAAUACAUGCAAGUCGAGCGAACGGACGAGAAGCUUGCUUUUCUGAUGUUAGCGGCGGACGGGUGAGUAACACGUGGAUAACCUACCUAUAAGACUGGGAUAACUUCGGGAAACCGGAGCUAAUACCGGAUAAUAUUUUGAACCGCAUGGUUCAAAAGUGAAAGACGGUCUUGCUGUCACUUAUAGAUGGAUCCGCGCUGCAUUAGCUAGUUGGUAAGGUAACGGCUUACCAAGGCAACGAUGCAUAGCCGACCUGAGAGGGUGAUCGGCCACACUGGAACUGAGACACGGUCCAGACUCCUACGGGAGGCAGCAGUAGGGAAUCUUCCGCAAUGGGCGAAAGCCUGACGGAGCAACGCCGCGUGAGUGAUGAAGGUCUUCGGAUCGUAAAACUCUGUUAUUAGGGAAGAACAUAUGUGUAAGUAACUGUGCACAUCUUGACGGUACCUAAUCAGAAAGCCACGGCUAACUACGUGCCAGCAGCCGCGGUAAUACGUAGGUGGCAAGCGUUAUCCGGAAUUAUUGGGCGUAAAGCGCGCGUAGGCGGUUUUUUAAGUCUGAUGUGAAAGCCCACGGCUCAACCGUGGAGGGUCAUUGGAAACUGGAAAACUUGAGUGCAGAAGAGGAAAGUGGAAUUCCAUGUGUAGCGGUGAAAUGCGCAGAGAUAUGGAGGAACACCAGUGGCGAAGGCGACUUUCUGGUCUGUAACUGACGCUGAUGUGCGAAAGCGUGGGGAUCAAACAGGAUUAGAUACCCUGGUAGUCCACGCCGUAAACGAUGAGUGCUAAGUGUUAGGGGGUUUCCGCCCCUUAGUGCUGCAGCUAACGCAUUAAGCACUCCGCCUGGGGAGUACGACCGCAAGGUUGAAACUCAAAGGAAUUGACGGGGACCCGCACAAGCGGUGGAGCAUGUGGUUUAAUUCGAAGCAACGCGAAGAACCUUACCAAAUCUUGACAUCCUUUGACAACUCUAGAGAUAGAGCCUUCCCCUUCGGGGGACAAAGUGACAGGUGGUGCAUGGUUGUCGUCAGCUCGUGUCGUGAGAUGUUGGGUUAAGUCCCGCAACGAGCGCAACCCUUAAGCUUAGUUGCCAUCAUUAAGUUGGGCACUCUAAGUUGACUGCCGGUGACAAACCGGAGGAAGGUGGGGAUGACGUCAAAUCAUCAUGCCCCUUAUGAUUUGGGCUACACACGUGCUACAAUGGACAAUACAAAGGGCAGCGAAACUGCGAGGUCAAGCAAAUCCCAUAAAGUUGUUCUCAGUUCGGAUUGUAGUCUGCAACUCGACUACAUGAAGCUGGAAUCGCUAGUAAUCGUAGAUCAGCAUGCUACGGUGAAUACGUUCCCGGGUCU
rnacentral:rRNA from 1 species